rnacentral:rRNA from 1 species
GACGAACGCUGGCGGCGUGCCUAAUACAUGCAAGUCGAACGCAGUGGGGACGGGGGAGUAACACGUGGGUCAGCUCCCAUCAGAGGGGAUAACACUUGGAAACAGGUGCUAAACCGCUACUGGUGGACGGACCCGCGGUGCAUUGGCUAUUCGGUGAGGUAACGGCCCACCAAGGCCACGAUGCAUAGCGGAGCUGAGAGGGUGAUCGGCCACACGGGAACUGAGAAACGGCCCAGACUCCUACGGGAGGCAGCCGGAGGGAACUUUGGGAAAUGGACGAAAGUCUGACCGGGCAACGCCGCGUGAGUGAGGAAGGUUUUCGUAUCGUAAACCUCUGUUGUUAGAGAAGCGGUAUCUACCCAGAAAGCCACGGCUAACUACGUGCCAGCAGCCGCGGUAAUAC